GCUGAUCCAGCCAUGCCGCGUGCAGGAAGACUGCCCUAUGGGUUGUAAACUGCUUUUAUACGGGAAGAAACCCUCCUACGUGUAGGGGGCUGACGGUACCGUAAGAAUAAGCAUCGGCUAACUCCGUGCCAGCAGCCGCGGUAAUACGGAGGAUGCAAGCGUUAUCCGGAAUCAUUGGGUUUAAAGGGUCCGUAGGUGGACUAGUAAGUCAGAGGUGAAAGCCUGCAGCUCAACUGUAGAACUGCCUUUGAUACUGGUGGUCUUGAAUUAUUGUGAAGUGGUUAGAAUAUGUAGUGUAGCGGUGAAAUGCAUAGAUAUUACAUAGAAUACCGAUUGCGAAGGCAGA
rnacentral:rRNA from 1 species